rnacentral:rRNA from 1 species
AACGCGAAUAACCUUACCCGGCCUUGACAUCUACGGAAUCCUGCAGAGAUGCGGGAGUGCCUUCGGGAACCGUAAGACAGGUGCUGCAUGGCUGUCGUCAGCUCGUGUCGUGAGAUGUUGGGUUAAGUCCCGCAACGAGCGCAACCCUUGUCCUUAGUUGCCAUCAUUCAGUUGGGAACUCUAAGGAGACCGCCGGUGACAAACCGGAGGAAGGUGGGGAUGACGUCAAGUCAUCAUGGCCUUUAUGGCCGGGGCUACACACGUGCUACAAUGGCAGGUACAGAGGGAAGCCAACUCGCGAGAGGGAGCCAAUCCCAGAAAGCCUGUCGUAGUCCGGAUCGGAGUCUGCAACUCGACUCUGUGAAGUCGGAAUCGCUAGUAAUCGCAGAUCAGCAUUGCUGCGGUGAAUACGUUCCCGGGUCUUGUACACACCG